UUUCCGUAGGUGAACCUGCGGAAGGAUCAUUCAUAAUAAAGUGUUUUUUGGCAUUUUUUAAAAAUCCAUAUCCACCUUGUGUGCAAUGUUAGAUCUCCUCAAUCAUGGCGAGAUUUUUAUACAUCAACUCAUUCUUUAACUACUUUGUCUGAAAAAUAUUAUGAAUAAUUAAUUAAAAAUACAACUUUCAACAACGGAUCUCUUGGCUCUC
rnacentral:misc_RNA from 1 species